rnacentral:lncRNA from 1 species
AGCUGGUGUUCCCAAGGGAUCGGUUCUGGGCCCUCUUCUCUUUGUCUUAUACAUUAAUGAUAUCGCUGAUAAGCUUACUUCACUGUGUCGGCUAUUUGCUGACGACACAUCAUUCAAUUAUUCUGGUAACGACGGAGAACAGAUUAAAUCUGUUAUCGAUCGCGACUUGAAAGAGCUGGAUGUUUGGUCUUCUGAAUGGCUGAUGUCAUUUAACCCAGAUAAAACCGAAAUUAUGAUUUUUUCAAAUAUUGAGACUCCAGACCUUAGCUUUUCCUUAAAUGGUAAAAAUAUACCUUUAAGUACAUCUCAUAAGCACCUGGGAGUUAAUUUUAGUAGUGACGCAAAAUGGAACAAUCAUGUUGAAAGUAUAAUUCUAAGUGUAAAGAAACACUUAAAUGUUUUACGUAAACUUAAAUACCGAUUAUCUCGAAAUAAUUUAGAAAAACUAUACUUAGUUUUUAUUCGACCCAUUUUUGAAUAUGCCACGGAAGUGUGGGAUAAUUGUGGAAUAGGCUACUCACAUAAAUUAGAAAAUUUGCAAUUAGAG